AACGAACGCUGGCGGCAGGCUUAACACAUGCAAGUCGAACGCCCUAGCAAUAGGGAGUGGCGCACGGGUGAGUAACGCGUGGGAAUAUACCGUUUAGUGGGGAAUAACGUUGGGAAACUAACGCUAAUACCGCAUACGCCCGAGAGGGGAAAGAUUUAUCGCUAAACGAUUAGCCCGCGUGAGAUUAGGUAGUUGGUGGGGUAAUGGCCUACAAAGCCUACGAUCUCUAGCUGGUCUGAGAGGAGGAUCAGCCACACUGGAAGUGAGACACGGGCCAGACUCCUGCGGGGUGAAGCAUUGGGGAAUGUUGGUCAAUGGACGCAAGCCUGAUCCAGCCAUGCCGCGUGAGUGAUGAAGGCCUUAGGGUUGUAAAGCUCUUUCGCCGAUGAAGAUAAUGACGGUAGUCGGAGAAGAAGCCCCGGCUAACUUCGUGCCAGCCGCCGCGGUAA
rnacentral:rRNA from 1 species